rnacentral:rRNA from 1 species
UACGUGAGGUGGCAAGCGUUGUCCGGAAUUAUUGGGCGUAAAGCGCGCGGCAGGCGGCCUUUUAAGUCUGAUGUCGAAAGCCCACGGCUCAACCGUGGAAGGUCAUUGGAAACUGAAAGGCUUGAGUACAGAAGAGGAAAGCGGAAUUCCACGUGUAGCGGUGAAAUGCGUAGAGAAUGUGGAGGAAUACCAGUGGCGAAGGCGCUUCUGGUCUGUAACUGACGCUGAGGCGCGAAAGCGUGGGGAGCAAACAGGA